UACGUAGGGGGCAAGCGUUGUCCGGAUUUAUUGGGCGUAAAGAGCUCGUAGGCGGUUUGGUAAGUCUGGUGUGAAAUCUCCACGCUCAACGUGGAGGGGCCACCCGAUACUGCCAUGACUGGAGUCCGGUAGAGGAGUGUGGAAUUCCCGGUGUAGCGGUGAAAUGCGUAGAGAUCGGGAGGAAGGCCGGUGGCGAAGGCGGCGCUCUGGAACAUUUCUGACGCUGAGGCUCGAAAGCGUGGGGAGCAAACAGGG
rnacentral:rRNA from 1 species